GACGAACGCUGGCGGCGUGCUUAACACAUGCAAGUCGAACGGAAAGGCCCUGCUUGCAGGGUGCUCGAGUGGCGAACGGGUGAGUAACACGUUGGUGAUCUGCCCCUUACUUUGGGAUAAGCCUGGGAAACUGGGUCUAAUACUGGAUAGGACCAUGCUGUAGGUGGUGUGGUGGAAAGAUUAGUUUCGGUAAGGGAUGAGCUCGCGGCCUAUCAGCUUGUUGGUGGGGUAAUGGCCUACCAAGGCGUCGACGGGUAGCCGGCCUGAGAGGGUGGACGGCCACAUUGGGACUGAGAUACGGCCCAGACUCCUACGGGAGGCAGCAGUGGGGAAUAUUGCACAAUGGGCGCAAGCCUGAUGCAGCGACGCCGCGUGGGGGAUGACGGCCUUCGGGUUGUAAACUCCUUUCAGCCAUGACGAAGCCCUUGUGGUGACGGUAGUGGUAGAAGAAGCACCGGCUAACUACGUG
rnacentral:rRNA from 1 species